rnacentral:rRNA from 1 species
AGCGCAACCCUCGACCUUAGUUGCCAGCAUUCAGUUGGGCACUCUAAGGUGACUGCCGGCUAAAAGUCGGAGGAAGGUGGGGGAUGACGUCAAAUCAUCAUGCCCUUAUGACCUGGGCUACACACGUGCUACAAUGGGCGGUACAAAGGGUCGCGAACCCGCGAGGGGGAGCCAAUCCCAAAAAGCCGCUCUCAGUUCGGAUUGCAGGCUGCAACUCGCCUGCAUGAAGCCGGAAUCGCUAGUAAUCGCGGAUCAGCAUGCCGCGGUGAAUACGUUCCCGGGCCUU